rnacentral:rRNA from 1 species
UUAAGCAUAUAAGUAGGUGGUGCGAAAACAAACCAAAUGGGAUUCUUCAAGUAAUGGCGAAUGAACCUAGAUAUGCUCAAUUUGAAAAAUACAGUGAUACUGUUUGACAUGUAAUUUCAAAAUGUACAACCAAUUGGCAUGCAAGUGGAAGCUCAUUGAAAGAAUGCGUCGAAGAAGGUGAAAAUCCAUUUUGCCACUUGUAAUGUUGUUGUUUAUGGUGUAUAUUUCAGGAGUCACAUUCCUUGGCAUUGGAAUGCAAUGUGGGUGGUAAACUUCAUGCAAAGAUUAAUAUGUGUUUGAGAUUGAUAGUACACAAAUACCGUGAGGGAAAUAUGAAAAGGACUUUGAAAAGAGAUUUAAAAGAGUUUGCAGUUGCUGAACAAAAAACAAAUAGGAUGUCGACGAUUGAGCAGAUUGUUGAACCUCGGUUUGCUUCAAUUGCUAGCAUGUGUGUAUUCAAUGAUUCUAUCUUUGUCUACCAUACCAUUCUCAGCGUAUCAUGACACUUGCAGGUUUCGUGUUUUUGCUUGCGGGCUAAUGACAACACCUGCUUGAGAAUGGUAUGCCAAGUGUUCAUUGUGCUUAGAGUCUGCAUACUGCUUAUGUUAAGUUGCAAUUCUGAACUUGUGCUUUGAGCUGUGCUUUACCUUCUGCAUAUGUCUAUUGGUGAUCAUAUCCUGCUUGACCCGUCUUGAAACACGGACCAAGGAGUCUAAUAGAUGUGCAAGCUUUGAAACUGCUAUUUUGUUUAAACCAAUGAAAUUAAGAGCUGGGAUUUUUGCACCAGCAACCAAUUGAUUGGUGGGUAAAGCCUUGAGUUGGAGCAUAUUUAUUAGGACCCGAAAGAUGGUGAACUAUGCCUGAAGAGAAUGAAUUCAGAGGAAACUCUGACGGAAGUUCGCAUCAAUACUGACGUGCAAAUCGUUUGUCAUACUUGGGUAUAGGGGCGAAAGACUAAUCG